UACGUAGGGGGCAAGCGUUGUCCGGAAUCAUUGGGCGUAAAGAGCGUGUAGGCGGCUUGGUAAGUCCGCUGUGAAAGUCCAGGGCUCAACCCUGGAAAGCCGGUGGAAACUGUCAAGCUCGAGUCCGGAAGAGGCGAGUGGAAUUCCUGGUGUAGCGGUGAAAUGCGCAGAUAUCAGGAGGAACACCGAUGGCGAAGGCAGGUCUCUGGGCCACUACUGACGCUGAGAAGCGAAAGCAUGGGGAGCGAACAGG
rnacentral:rRNA from 1 species